CGCUAAAAUUCUCCCCACUUCAUCACCAGCACGUCCUAAAUCAUCUUCCCCAAAACUACAUCGUCGUCAAAGGAAAGUAAAACCCCUGAUUGUGCACCCCAAAUUCCUUGUUAGUGCCUACACCUAAAUCAACAUCCCCAAGACUGGCGCCAAAUUCUACUCAAUUUCAAGUUCAACCAGAUAUUUUUUCCCUUUUUGAUUUGAUUUGUUUUAUGUUUAUGUUUCGCGCGGGUUAACUCG
rnacentral:lncRNA from 1 species